GCGGCUAUAGCUCAGGUGGACAGAGCAGGAGUUUCCUAAACUCUUGGUCGGGGGUUCGAGUCCUCCUAGCCGCACCA
rnacentral:tRNA from 2 species